ACAGGGUGACGGUGGUGCAUGGUUGUCGUCAGCUCGUGUCGUGAGAUGUUGGGUUAAGUCCCGCAACGAGCGCAACCCUCGACCUUAGUUGCCAGCAUUCAGUUGGGCACUCUAAGGUGACUGCCGGCUAAAAGUCGGAGGAAGGUGGGGAUGACGUCAAAUCAUCAUGCCCCUUAUGACCUGGGCUACACACGUGCUACAAUGGGCGGUACAAAGGGUCGCGAACCCGCGAGGGGGAGCCAAUCCCAAAAAGCCGCUCUCAGUUCGGAUUGCAGGCUGCAACUCGCCUGCAUGAAGCCGGAAUCGCUAGUAAUCGCGGAUCAGCAUGCCGCGGUGAAUACGUUCCCGGGCCUU
rnacentral:rRNA from 1 species